rnacentral:rRNA from 1 species
UGGAUCCAGACUUUGAUCCUGGCUCAGGAUGAACGCUAGCUACAGGCUUAACACAUGCAAGUCGAGGGGCAGCAUCAUCAAAGCUUGCUUUGAUGGAUGGCGACCGGCGCACGGGUGAGUAACACGUAUCCAACCCGCCGACAACACUGGGAUAGCCUUUCGAAAGAAAGAUUAAUACCGGAUGGCAUAAUUAUUCCGCAUGGGAUGAUUAUUAAAGAAUUUCGGUUGUCGAUGGGGAUGCGUUCCAUUAGGCAGUUGGCGGGGUAACGGCCCACCAAACCAACGAUGGAUAGGGGUUCUGAGAGGAAGGUCCCCCACAUUGGAACUGAGACACGGUCCAAACUCCUACGGGAGGCAGCAGUGAGGAAUAUUGGUCAAUGGACGAGAGUCUGAACCAGCCAAGUAGCGUGAAGGAUGACUGCCCUAUGGGUUGUAAACUUCUUUUAUACGGGAAUAAAGUGAGCCACGUGUGGCUUUUUGUAUGUACCGUAUGAAUAAGGAUCGGCUAACUCCGUGCCAGCAGCCGCGGUAAUACGGAGGAUCCGAGCGUUAUCCGGAUUUAUUGGGUUUAAAGGGAGCGUAGGCGGGUUGUUAAGUCAGUUGUGAAAGUUUGCGGCUCAACCGUAAAAUUGCAGUUGAUACUGGCGUCCUUGAGUGCGGUUGAGGUGUGCGGAAUUCGUGGUGUAGCGGUGAAAUGCUUAGAUAUCACGAAGAACUCCGAUUGCGAAGGCAGCACACUAAUCCGUAACUGACGUUCAUGCUCGAAAGUGUGGGUAUCAAACAGGAUUAGAUACCCUGGUAGUCCACACGGUAAACGAUGGAUACUCGCUGUUGGCGAUAUACUGUCAGCGGCUUAGCGAAAGCGUUAAGUAUCCCACCUGGGGAGUACGCCGGCAACGGUGCAACUCAAAUGAAUUGACGGA